rnacentral:rRNA from 1 species
UCGCAGAUCAGAAUGCUGCGGUGAAUGCGUUCCCGGGUCUUGUACACACCGCCCGUCACACCACGGGAGUUGGAGACGCCCGAAGCCGAUUAUCUAACCUUUUGGAAGAAGUCGUCGAAGGUGGAAUCAAUAACUGGGGUGAAGUCGUAACAAGGUAGCCGUAUCGGAAGGGGCGGCUGGAUCACCUCCUUUCUAAGGAGA